GCCGCAAUAGCUCAGUUGGGAGAGCAGUAGACUGAAGUGUUAUUCAUGGAAGUGAAUUGAGCAUGGUUUCUAAAGGUCCCCCGUUCGAACCGGGGUUGUGGCA